rnacentral:rRNA from 1 species
UACGAAGGGUGCAAGCGUUACUCGGAAUUACUGGGCGUAAAGCGUGCGUAGGUGGUUUGUUAAGUCUGAUGUGAAAGCCCUGGGCUCAACCUGGGAAUUGCAUUGGAUACUGGCAGGCUAGAGUGCGGUAGAGGAUGGCGGAAUUCCCGGUGUAGCAGUGAAAUGCGUAGAGAUCGGGAGGAACAUCGGUGGCGAAGGCGGCCAUCUGGACCAGAACUGACACUGAGGCACGAAAGCGUGGGGAGCAAACAGG